rnacentral:rRNA from 1 species
AUUGAACGCUGGCGGCAGGCCUAACACAUGCAAGUCGAGCGGAUGAAGGGAGCUUGCUCCUGGAUUCAGCGGCGGACGGGUGAGUAAUGCCUAGGAAUCUGCCUGGUAGUGGGGGAUAACGUCCGGAAACGGGCGCUAAUACCGCAUACGUCCUGAGGGAGAAAGUGGGGGAUCUUCGGACCUCACGCUAUCAGAUGAGCCUAGGUCGGAUUAGCUAGUUGGUGGGGUAAAGGCCUACCAUGGCGACGAUCCGUAACUGGUCUGAGAGGAUGAUCAGUCACACUGGAACUGAGACACGGUCCAGACUCCUACGGGAGGCAGCAGUGGGGGAUAUUGGACAAUGGGCGAAAGCCUGAUCCAGCCAUGCCGCGUGUGUGAAGAAGGUCUUCGGAUUGUAAAGCACUUUAAGUUGGGAGGAAGGGCAGUAAGUUAAUACCUUGCUGUUUUGACGUUACCAACAGAAUAAGCACCGGCUAACUUCGUG